rnacentral:rRNA from 1 species
GACGUAGGGGGCGAGCGUUGUCCGGAAUCACUGGGCGUAAAGAGCUCGUAGGCGGGGUUGCGCGUCUUGGAGUAAAUCCAUCUGCUUAACGGAUGGGUCGGCUGAGAUACGGCAACUCUUGAGGACAGGGGAGGAAAGCAGAAUUCCGGGUGUAGCGGUGAAAUGCGUAGAUAUCCGGAGGAAUACCAGUGGCGAAGGCGGCUUUCUGGCCCGAU